AGCAGGUGGUUUGGGAUAACUGACUUCAGCAUUUAAUUUGAAUUUUACUACUACCAAUAUUUUAAGUUUUUAAAAAUGACAUUGAAUUUACGGGGAGGUGAACAAUUUGUUUUUUGUGACUUCCACAUGGUGAAUAGGACAUGCCAUAGCAGGUUUGUCUCGAAACUCCCAUUUAUUCAUAUUGGAAUCCACCAGCACUUUGUAAGGUUUCCCAAAUGGCUAUCAUUUCCAUACUUGUGUGUGGAGAGAGGUGCUAUCAUGAUACAAUGUAGUUUGAGCAACUUACCUUUAUGUUACUAUUUUGUAUGUGGCAGAUCAAGUAUUCCGUGAUGCUUCCUGGCACUCAUGUUUGGCCUCAUACUGGUCCUACAAACUGCCGUUUACGACUUCACCUUGGACUGGUCAUUCCUAAAAAUGUCGCCAUAAGGGUUGGACGUGAAACAAGAACUUGGGAAGAAGGCAAAGCAAUAAUCAUUGAUGACUCAUUUGACCAUGAAGUUUGGCACAAUGGUUCAACCUUUAGACUUAUUUUAAUUGUGGACUUUUGGCACCCAGACUUGACACCUCGACAAAGAGCGUCAUUGUCUCCCAUCUAAUGAGCUUAAUUUUUAAAAUUUAGAGUGCAUGCAUGUGGAGGGGUGACCUUGAAUAGAAUGGUUGACUGUGUCUUAAGCCAGUUCAGUGCUGCAAUGACCUUUAUGUCAUGUUUUUAGCCAGUUUAUACUUUUAAAUAAAUUGUUGUAUUAUAGCUACAGUUUAAGAAAGAUCUCAGUAUCUCAGUAUCUCACAGUAUCUCAAUUAUGUAAAAUUGUGGUUGUGAAGAUUUUAAAUGAAGAUUCUAAUAGAUAUAAUUAAAUUUUUGAUAUCUUAUUUCUGCACAGUUGCUAUUAUUGCCACAAACAUGUCUGGAACAGAAAACCAGUCAUAGUCUUAAGUUUGAAUAGUUCAGAGAUUUCAGUUUCUGUUUUACAUGUUUGUCUUUAAGCUUGUACAUUCAAGAUUAGAGCUUUUUACAUAUUUUACACCCAUUUUAAAACUAAGGUGUCCUAGAGAUGGGUUAUCAGCAGCUACAGGGUCCCUCAUCUGCAGUUUCAUAAGCUGGACAGGUUAAUUUGAGUCAGUCCUGAAGAAGCUGUCUGGUUUUGCCCAGAUUACAAUUUAAUUAGAAAUUUUCAAAACUUUAGACAAGCUCAGCAAAGGUACUAUAAUAACAUGCUUGUCAACUGAGUUAGGUCUGAUUUUACAGGAUAAUACAUGUAUUUUGCUCUUGGUCAGGAUACAUUAACCCUCUGAUUUCCCAUCUGCCUGUCCCACUUAAAUUGUACUUUGUAACUUGGGAAAUUGGAAAUUUUAAGGCAAGGGGCUCUUUAAUGCAAUUCAAAGGAGUUACAUUACCUGCAAAAAAUUUCAGGUGUUUAAAUUUCAGAGACUUAAAAAUUUCGGAAUUAUAUUAUCAGGCCCUUUUUUGCCCGAAAAUAAAAUCAUCCCAGAUUUUUUGCAAGUAAUGUAUACCACUAUAUAUUGAGACAAUUUUUAUAUACCGUAUUAUUAUCCUCAAACAGAAAAUAUUGUAGUGGUCCAGUUUUGAGUUAAUGAUAGAAGACAGAGCUGUGCAGUGUUAGUCUUGAUCUGAACUAAAAUAUUCAGAUACCAGUUGUCAUGAGUAAGAAGAUUAAUAGCUGCUUGCAGCUUUGUUCAUAAUUUGGUUUAUCUUUUGCUUUUCUGCUGGUAUUUGGGAAUAUUUUACAUCAGAUAUUUGCAAGAUUUGUUAAACAUUCAGUCUUAGAGUGGUUCUUAGCCCGCAUUACUGCACUCAUUGUAUACCAAAGUGGUUUUAUGGUGUAGGAAACGAAGUGUGGAUGAUUUUAAUUUCUACUGUAUUAAAGGUGGUACUAAUUUUGUGAAGGAUCA